UAACACAUGCAAGUCGAGCGAAGCGAUUUUGAGGAAGUUUUCGGAUGGAAUCGAAAUUGACUUAGCGGCGGACGGGUGAGUAACACGUGGGUAAUCUGCCUUAUACAGGGGGAUAACAGUUAGAAAUGACUGCUAAUACCGCAUAAGCGCACGGGGACGCAUGUUUCUGUGUGAAAAACUCCGGUAGUAUAAGAUGAGCCCGCGUCUGAUUAGCUGGUUGGUGGGGUAACGGCCUACCAAGGCGACGAUCAGUAGCCGGCCUGAGAGGGUGAACGGCCACAUUGGGACUGAGACACGGCCCAAACUCCUACGGGAGGCAGCAGUGGGGAAUAUUGCACAAUGGGGGAAACCCUGAUGCAGCGACGCCGCGUGAGUGAAGAAGUAUUUCGGUAUGUAAAGCUCUAUCAGCAGGGAAGAAAAAAGACGGUACCUGACUAAGAAGCCCCGGCUAACUACGUGCCAGCAGCCGCGGUAAUACGUAGGGGGCAAGCGUUAUCCGGAUUUACUGGGUGUAAAGGGAGCGUAGACGGCGCGGCAAGUCUGAAGUGAAAGGCAGGGGCUUAACCCCUGAACUGCUUUGGAAACUGCCAUGCUAGAGUGCUGGAGAGGUAAGUGGAAUUCCUAGUGUAGCGGUGAAAUGCGUAGAUAUUAGGAGGAACACCAGUGGCGAAGGCGGCUUACUGGACAGUAACUGACGUUGAGGCUCGAAAGCGUGGGGAGCAAACAGGAUUGGAUACCCUGGUAGUCCACGCCGUAAACGAUGAAUAAUAGGUGUUGGUGGGCAAAGCCCAUAUGUACCGCCGCAAACGCAAUAAGUAUUCCAAAUGGGGAAUACGUUUGCAAGAAUGCAACUCAAAGGAAAUGGACGGGGGACACGCACAAGCGGCGGAGCAUGUGGUUUAAUUCGAAGCAACACGAAGAACCUUACCAAGUCUUGACAUCUCCCUGACCGGCGAGUAAAGUCAACAUAUCCUUCGGGACAGGGAAGACAGGUGGUGCAUGGUUGUCGUCAGCUCGUGUCGUGAGAUGUUGGAUUAAGUCCCACAACGAGAACAACCCUUAUUCUUAGCAGCCAGCAGGUAAAGCUGGGCACUCUGGGAAGACUACCAGGGAUAACCUGGAGGAAGGUGGGGAUGACGUCAAAUCAUCAUGCCCCUUACGAUUUGGGCUACACACGUGCUACAAUGGCGUAAACAAAGGGAGGCAAAGGAGUAAUCUGGAGCAAACCCCAAAAAUAACGUCUCAGUUCGGACUGUGGUCUGCAACCCGACCACACGAAGCUGGAAUCGCUAGUAAUCGCGAAUCAGAAUGUCGCGGUGAAUACGUUCCCGGGUCUUGCACUCACCGCCCGUCA
rnacentral:rRNA from 1 species